UACGUAGGGGGCAAGCGUUGUCCGGAAUCAUUGGGCGUAAAGAGCGUGUAGGCGGCCUGAAAGGUCAGCUGUGAAAACUCGAGGCUCAACCUCGAGACGUCGGUUGAAACCAUCUGGCUAGAGUCCGGAAGAGGAGUGUGGAAUUCCCGGUGUAGCGGUGAAAUGCGCAGAUAUCGGGAAGAACAGCCGUGGCGAAGGCGGCACUCUGGGACGGUACUGACGCUGAGACGCGAAAGCGUGGGGAGCGAACAGG
rnacentral:rRNA from 1 species